AUAUUAAUUAAGAGCCAAAAUAAACAGCUUUGCAAGUGUAUAAAACUUGUCUUCAAAAACAUUACUCCACCAGCCAGUGUCCCUGAUUAGCUUACUUCAGGGUCUGUUGGUGAAUACAUCAACUUUUUGUCCUCAAUGGCAGGCCUUCAUUAAUUAUGUCUUCUACCUUCCAGGCUACAUGUGGAGUUUCCACACAUACAGUUUAUUUUUCUUAAUUAUGUCUAUGUUUUUGUCGCUUUACCUUCCAUUGUAAAGAAAUACAGAUCCAGCCCUCCAAAAGCCAGUAUCAGACAUCGUUUGGUAGAAAAGACGGAAAUAGUUAGGAUAGAGAGUACAUGCUUCUCUGUAUUUUUUUUAUUUUGAAAUUACAGAAAUUCAUUUUAAGACUGUCUAAGAAAUAGUUUCUGUUUCUGUUUUUUAAACCAAGGUAGCUAGGAACAGGACCUGUGAUUCUCAAGGCUUGACACAUCAUUUUCCAGGGUAUGCUAAUGGCGAGUUAUGUCCACAAGGAAGCGUGGGAGUUUUGCAGUGUGUGUUUUUUCUUGUUGGCGAGGAGGGCAAUGUGAAAAGCCCCCCUCACUAGGGUUUGUCUAUUGCUAGUCCCACUCGUAGGGCAACAAGAUCAAGACCUUUGAAUAACUGUUCUCAGCUUGGAAAAAGUAUGAGAAUGGUGGUAUAGCUAGAUGACGAAGCCAAACCCUACCAUGUGCAUUCUUGUUGGAAAUUUUGAGAGAGAUGAGGUGAACUUCUAUCA